rnacentral:rRNA from 1 species
UACGAAGGGUGCAAGCGUUACUCGGAAUUACUGGGCGUAAAGCGUGCGUAGGCGGUUUGUUAAGUCCGUUGUGAAAGCCCUGGGCUCAACUUGGGAAUUGCAGUGGAUACUGGCGAGCUAGAGUGCGGUAGAGGAUGGUGGAAUUCCCGGUGUAGCGGUGAAAUGCGUAGAGAUCGGGAGGAACACCCGUGGCGAAGGCGGCCAUCUGGACCAGCACUGACGCUGAGGCACGAAAGCGUGGGGAGCAAACAGG